ensembl:lncRNA
GCUUGGAAUCGCCCAGCUGUCCCCUCAGACGGCAGCCCGUGGCCGUCCCCUUCGCCGUGGGAUGCGGGGAUUUGGGGCGGCUGAAGGAGUUGGGGCCCCCACCACCGCAGCGCUGCUGCCCUCACAGGGGCCGGGCCCCCCCAAGCGUCCAGUGCUUGUUGAGGUUUCAGUGUGCAGUCUGCUGAUCCGAAAGAAAGAAGGCGGCUUUUGGAGGACUUAAUCAUUGCGAGUCGAGCUGCUGCUGAACCUCCCCUUCCAACAUCCAGC